AUUGGCUGGGGCAUUGCGUGAUUGGGGUGGUUCAGAGAUAGAUACUGAUGGAUCUACAGGAGGUUGUAAAGCUGGAGCUGGUGCUAAUUCAGGUGAAGGUGAAGGUGAAGGUGAAGGUGCAGGAGUCAAAAAGAUACUGGAGGGGGAUUCUGAAGGAGACAACGAUGAAGGUGAAGGUGACAUUGAAGGUGAAAAUGAGGAUUCUGAUGGCGAAGGUGAUGGUGACAGUUGGGAAAUUCUUUCAUUGGCUGUCUUAGAGGGUACAAGCACCUGCUGCAGCCGCCUCCCAUAAGCUAUAUCUCCUGGCUGGGCA
rnacentral:lncRNA from 1 species